rnacentral:rRNA from 1 species
UACGAAGGGGGCUAGCGUUGUUCGGAAUUACUGGGCGUAAAGCGCGCGCAGGCGGUUUUCCAAGUCAGUGGUGAAAGCCCGGAGCUCAACUCCGGAACUGCCAUUGAAACUGGCGAACUUGAGUACGAGAGAGGUGAGUGGAACUGCGAGUGUAGAGGUGAAAUUCGUAGAUAUUCGCAAGAACACCAGUGGCGAAGGCGGCUCACUGGCCCGGUACUGACGCUGAGGUGCGAAAGCGUGGGGAGCAAACAGG